rnacentral:lncRNA from 1 species
CCUUCUUUAACCUGUUUAGAGUAAUUGAUAUCGCUUCUAAAGCGAAGGACUUGAAUUUCAUCCGCAUGAACUUAUAGACAUGGUGUCCGAGCCUCACUAAUAUGUAAAGAAUGGACACCAAAACACCUCCAGACAUGAGCAGUGCCGACUAACUCCAAUGACUUCAGUCAGUUUAGUUUUUGAAAAUGAAUGUGAAACAGAAAACGAGAAGCAUGGAAGAGGAGGAAUUAACUGGAAAUACCAUGUGGCUUAAGAAAACAGUUCUGCUUCUCAGGUAGAUAUUUAUAGGGGCAAGAAGAGAUAUUUCAGUAGAUGCACAUGCUUGUUUUGGUACACCCUGAAACCAUUUUAAGGUAGUGAAAACAGUGUGAUAAAAAGGAAGAGGUUUGGGUUGAAUAGCAAAGUUCAACAGCAAGACUGGGGGUACAUUCAAAUUAUAGUGACAUUAAAUAAGCCAGUCAGAGAACGGAGAGCUGUGAAACAUGGAUUACGGUGAAAGUGCUCUUUGUGGAAGUGGAGAACUGGAGCUGGAUCCAGAUAUUGUGAGCGAGGAGGCGGGGAAACUGUAUUCGGAGCUGCAGUCGGUGGUGGAGACUCAUGGAGCUGGUGUGGUGGAGUCCCUGCUGCCCAUCCUCGUCUGGGUUCUGGAAGGGCUGGCGAGCUGCAGGGCUCAGCUGAGAGAGAGAGAGGAGGAGGCAGAGAGAGAGAAAGCAGAGAGAGAAGAACUGCUGGAGAGGUAUCAGACUGAGAAAACCCUGAGGAGAGAGAGCCAAGAGGUGAGAGAGAACUGUGUGAAGGAAGAAUUGAAGGUCUUUUGUGACCUUUUAACCUU